rnacentral:misc_RNA from 1 species
GAUGAAGAACGCAGCGAAAUGCGAUAAGUAGUGUGAAUUGCAGAAUUCCGUGAAUCAUCGAAUCUUUGAACGCACAUUGCGCCUUCUGGUAUUCCGGAAGGCAUGCCUGUUCGAGAGUCAUUAACAACCGUUUCGAUCCCUUUCUUUCAGAAAUUACAAAGAGGAAAAGGGUUUGGUUAUGGUGGAGGAGGGAAAGGGAGCGUUUAGCCUGUAAAAAAAGAGGCUGUGUUCCGCCUCCCCCCCAAAAUUGUACAGGCGGUCGUGUGCGCCCACGCAUCGAGGUGUUGUAAAAGCUGCCACGGCACUUUUCACCUGUGCAGUGCGAGAUUGGCCAGCCGGUUUAAAAACCCCUCCAAACAAUCAAAGGUUGACCUCGGAUCAGGUAGGGAUACCCGCUGAACUUAAGCAUAUCAAUAAGCCGGAGGA